rnacentral:lncRNA from 1 species
UAGGGAUGUGGGAUCAGGAACAUUUGAAUCUAUGGGCAGGUACAGCAGGGGAAACAGUGACCAGGUUCUGCAGAGAGCAGGAUAGAGUGCUGAUGACAGUGGGGAAGAGGCAGUUAGUGCCUCCCAUAGAAAAUGGCUUGGCAAGAGUGCAGGUGGCAGGCGAAGCAGAACCAUUUGUGUCGAAGGCAGCAUGAAGAGCAGUGGGCCAGCUAUCCAGGUCUGGGAUGCCUGGCACUCAUGAUCUGGGGAAGAAUAUGAAGAGGAUGCUCCUACUGCAGAUGACUGAAACACAUACAGACUGUCUACAUUCUACUUGUACUUCAGACACCCUUACUGAAAUCCUGCCUGAUUGUUCAGAUACCAGGAGCUGAAAACUGCCAACCCCAUGAAGGCCUUGGGGAAGAGCCCCUCCCUUUCAGUUGACUGAAGCAUUAAAUCAUCUUUUCCC